UACGAAGGGGGCUAGCGUUGCUCGGAAUGACUGGGCGUAAAGGGCGCGUAGGCGGUUCGUACAGUUGGAUGUGAAAUUCCCGGGCUCAACCUGGGGGGCUGCAUUCAAUACGUGCGGGCUUGAGUUCGGAAGAGGGUCGUGGAAUUCCCAGUGUAGAGGUGAAAUUCGUAGAUAUUGGGAAGAACACCGGUGGCGAAGGCGGCGACCUGGUCCGAUACUGACGCUGAGGCGCGAAAGCGUGGGGAGCGAACAGG
rnacentral:rRNA from 1 species